rnacentral:siRNA from 1 species
UUGGUCUGUUGCAUGGAGGACA